rnacentral:rRNA from 1 species
GUCGGCAGCUAUCACUCUGCCACUCUCAUCUGGUUGCCCACUGAAGCUAAGCAGGGUUGAGCCUGGUCAGUACCUGGAUGGGAGAUCUCCUGGGGAAAACUAGGUUGCUGCUGGAA